rnacentral:rRNA from 1 species
UCAGAACGAACGCUGGCGGCAGGCCUAACACAUGCAAGUCGAGCGCACCUUCGGGUGAGCGGCGGACGGGUUAGUAACGCGUGGGAACGUACCCUUUUCUACGGAAUAGCCUUUGGAAACGAAGAGUAAUACCGUAUACGCCCUUUGGGGGAAAGAUUUAUCGGAGAAGGAUCGGCCCGCGUCAGAUUAGAUAGUUGGUGGGGUAACGGCCUACCAAGUCUACGAUCUAUAGCUGGUUUUAGAGGAUGAUCAGCMACACUGGGACUGAGACACGGCCCAGACUCCUACGGGAGGCAGCAGUGGGGAAUCUUAGACAAUGGGCGCAAGCCUGAUCUAGCCAUGCCGCGUGAGUGAUGAAGGCCUUASGGUCGUAAAGCUCUUUCGCCUGGUGAUGAUAAUGACAGUAGCAGGUAAAGAAACCCCGGCUAACUCCCUGCCAGCAGCCCCGGUAAUACGGAGGGGGUUAGCGUUGUUCGGAAUUAC